GACGUAGGGGGCAAGCGUUGUCCGGAAUCAUUGGGCGUAAAGCGCUCGUAGGCGGGACUGGAAGUCCGUGUUGAAAGACCUCGGCUCAACUGAGGGACCGGCUCGGAUACUCUAGUUCUUGAGGCAAUCAGAGGGUGAUGGAAUUCCCGGUGUAGCGGUGAAAUGCGUAGAUAUCGUGAGGAACACCAGAGGCGAAGGCGGUUACCUGGACAGUUACUGACGCUCAGGCACGAAAGCAUGGGGAGCAAAAGGG
rnacentral:rRNA from 1 species